rnacentral:rRNA from 1 species
UACAGAGGUCCCAAGCGUUGUUCGGAUUCAUUGGGCGUAAAGGGUGCGUAGGUGGCGCUGUAAGUCGGGUGUGAAAUUUCGAGGCUUAACCUCGAAACUGCAUUCGAUACUGCGGUGCUUGAGGACUGGAGAGGAGACUGGAAUUUAUGGUGUAGCAGUGAAAUGCGUAGAGAUCAUAAGGAAGACCAGUGGCGAAGGCGGGUCUCUGGACAGUUCCUGACACUGAGGCACGAAGGCCAGGGGAGCAAACGGG